rnacentral:snRNA from 1 species
GGAUGUGAGAGCAAUCUGACUGCUACAUCUGUCACCCCAUUGAUCACGAGGGUUGAUUCAGCUGAUCUGGCUGGCUAGGCGGGUGUCCCCUUCCUCCCUCACCACUCCAUGUGCAUCCCUCCUGAAGGUGCAUGCUCAGUGGAAGAGGAUGACCAUCCCCUAUAAAGGAGGACCAUUCUUUGGUCAAGGGUAUACAAGUAGCUGUGCUCCCCUGUUAGAACCUCCAAACAAGCUCUCAAAAUAGCCAAAAGAGAGGAUUUUCAAUGUUCCCAAAACACAAAAAAAAUAAAUAUUUGGAGUAUUAGAAACACGAAUUACCCUUAUUU